CCCUUAGAUGUUCUGGGCCGCACGCGCGCUACACUGAUGCAUUCAACGAGUUUCUUCCUGGUCCGAGAGGAAUGGGUAACCUUUUGAAAGUGCAUCGUGAUAGGGAUAGACUAUUGCAAUUAUUGGUCUUCAACGAGGAAUUCCUAGUAGACGUAGUUCAUCAGACUGCAUCGGUUACGUCCCUGCCCUUUGUACACACCGCCCGUCGCUCCUACCGAUUGAAUGCUCAGGUGAGCCAUUCGGACUUUCAUCAUGCUGGUUUCCAGUUUUGAUGAAGGAAAGUCUUGCGAACCUUAUCAUUUAGAGGAAGGAGAAGUCGUAACA
rnacentral:rRNA from 1 species